AGUGGCGGACGGGUGAGUAACGCGUAAGAAUCUAACUUCAGGACGGGGACAACAGUUGGAAACGACUGCUAAUACCCGAUAUGCCGCGAGGUGAAACCUAAUUGGCCUGAAGAAGACCUUGCGUCUGAUUAGCUAGUUGGUGGGGUAAGAGCCUACCAAGGCGACGAUCAGUAGCUGGUCUGAGAGGAUGAGCAGCCACACUGGGACUGAGACACGGCCCAGACUCCUACGGGAGGCAGCAGUGGGGAAUUUUCCGCAAUGGGCGAAAGCCUGACGGAGCAACGCCGCGUGAGGGAGGAAGGUCUUUGGAUUGUAAACCUCUUUUCUCAAGGAAGAAGUUCUGACGGUACUUGAGGAAUCAGCCUCGGCUAACUCCGUGCCAGCAGCCGCGGUAAUACGGGGGAGGCAAGCGUUAUCCGGAAUUACUGGGCGUAAAGCGUCCGCAGGUGGUCAGCCAAGUCUGCCGUCAAAUCAGGUUGCUUAACGACCUAAAGGCGGUGGAAACUGGCAGACUAGAGAGCAGUAGGGGUAGCAGGAAUUCCCAGUGUAGCGGUGAAAUGCGUAGAGAUUGGGAAGAACAUCGGUGGCGAAAGCGUGCUACUGGGCUGUAUCUGACACUCAGGGACGAAAGCUAGGGGAGCGAAAGGGAUUAGAUACCCCUGUAGUCCUAGCCGUAAACGAUGGAUACUAGGCGUGGCUU
rnacentral:rRNA from 1 species